AUGAAUAAUUCUUAUAACGAUCCAUCAGUUAAAUCAUCAGUUGAAUCUGUACAGAUGUUCCAUGUUAUCAAUGAAGUAAUAUCUGAAGGUAAUCCAUUUUAUCUAUGCAACACACUGAAAUGAGAAUUGUAUCACUGUAUUUUCUGUUCUGUUUUUGUGUCCAUACCAUGUGAGCACUAUCCUGAGAUUCCAAGAUGGUCAGCGUCCGGUCGAUCCAGCCUCGAAUUCAAACAAGUGAUCAUCAUUCAAAAUCCUACAUCUCCCAUAAUUGCUCUUCUUUCUUGAGCUAGUAAGCUUCAUCCAGCCAAGUCAUAUUCUAAGCCAUCCAAACAAUAAUGGAUGCUUCCAAACAUCAUAGGAAGCAUCCACAAAGACUGCCUGCAUCCAUCAAUUUGUCUCCUGAUAUCACAAAUAAGUAAAUAGAACAACACAAAUUGUAAGUUGAGGUUUGUGCAUCAAAUCUCAAUAUCUACUGUCCACUACUCUCAAAAGAUUUCUGCAAUAUGCUACACUUCAAACUUCCCUCUCCAUUAUAUGAUUCUCCGCUCCAGAUCUGUUUUUAUAAAACGGCACAAAACCGAUAAGAAGGUUUGUGCAUCAAAACCCAAUAUCUACUGUCCAAUCUACUCUCAAAACAUUUCUGCAAUAUGCUACAUGUGAAACUUCCUUGUCCGAUAUUUCAUUCUCUAUGCCAUGAACUGUUUUUAUGAAGAGGCACAUAACCGAUAAAAAGGUUUGUGCAUCAAAACCCAAUAUCUACAGUCCACAACUAUCAAAAGAUUUCUGCAAUACGCUACACUUCAAACUUCCCUCUCCAUUAUAUGAUUCUAAGCUUCAUGAUCUGUUUCUAUGAAGCGGCACAAAACCGAUAAAAAGGUUUGUGCAUCAAAUCUCAACAACUACUGUCCACUACUCUAAGAUUUCUGCAAUGCGCUACAUGUGAAACUUCCUCCUCCAUUACAUGGUUCUCUGUGCCAUGAACCGUUUUUAUGAAGAGGCACACAACCGAUUAAAAAGGUUUGUGCAUUAAAGCUCAAUCUCUAUGGUCCACUACUCUUAAAAGAUUUCUGCAAUGUGCUACAUGUGAAACUUCCUCAUCCUAUAGUUGAUUCUCUAUGCCAUGAACUUUUAUGAAGAGGCACACAACCAAUAAAAAGGUUUGUUCAUCAAAACUAAAUAUCUAUUGUCCCCUACUCUCAAAAGUGCAUUUACAGAUUUCUGCAAUACGCUACUUCAAACUUCCCUCUCCAUUAUAUGAUUCUCUACACCAUUUACUGUUUCCAUGAAGAGGCACACAACCGAUUAAAAAGGUUUGUGCAUCACUAUUAAAUAUCUACUGUCCACAACUAUCAAAAAGAUUUCUGCAAUAUGCUACACUUCAAACUUCCUUCUCCAUUAUAUGAUUCUCUGCUCCAUUAACUAUUUUUAUGAAGCAGCACAAAUCUGUUUAAGAAGGUUUGUGCAUCAAAACUCAAUAUCUACUGUCCACUACUCCCAGAAGAUUUCUGCAAUACACUACACUUCAAACUUCCUUCUCCAUUAUAUGAUUCUCCGCUCCAUGAAUUGUUUUUGAAGCAGCACAAAACCAAAAGAAAGGUUUGUGCAUCAAAACCCAAUAUCUACUGUCCACUACUAUCAAAAGAUUUCUGCAAUACGCUACAUGUGAAACUUCCUCCUUAUGCUUUAUUUGAUUCUCCACUCCAUGAACUGUUUUUAUGAAGCAGCACAAAACCAAUAAAAAGGUUUGUGCAUCAAAACUCAAUCUCUACUGUCCACUACUCGCAAAAGAUUUCUGCAAAACGCUACACUUCAAACUUCCUUCUCCAUUAUAUGAUUCUCCACUCCAUGAACUUUCUAUGAAGCAGCACAAAACCGAUUAAAAAGGUUUGUGCAUCAAAACUCAAUAUCUACUGUCCACUACUCCCAAAAGGUUUCUGCAAUGCGCUACACUUCAAACUUCCUUCUCCAUUAUGAUUCUCCAGUCCAUGAACUGUUUUUAUGAAGCACACAACCGAUAAAAAUAAAAGUGAAUACAAAACCAUUGUUCAAAUAUCUUCAGAAAAUGUCCCAGCAAAACUCUAAACUGAUGCAGGCAUUCAAUAGUCAAAGUUAUUAAACAAAUGAAUAACCGCAAAAGUAACACAAUUAUAUAUUAAAUAUUGGAUGGAUGGCUUGUAUUAUAUUAAAGGCUAUGUACAGCAAAUUUAGAUGCCAGCCAAAGGAGGAUGGCUUGCCCCUGCUGAGUCUGGUUCCUCCCAAGGUUUCUCCCUAUACCUCUCUGCUGAUGAUGCUUCUCUUCACUAAUUUAGGGAGUUUUUCCUUGCCACUGUUGCCUUCUGGCUUGCUCACUGGGGUAUUAAGGCACAAUAUUUUCAAUGUAUACUGUGUAAAGUGUUUGUAAAGAAUAAUAAAUACAUGAUGAUUUAGAAUAUA
ensembl:lncRNA